rnacentral:rRNA from 7 species
UCUCGCAUCGAUGAAGAACGUAGCGAACUGCGAUACUUGGUGUGAAUUGCAGAAUCCCGUGAACCAUCGAGUCUUUGAACGCAAGUUGCGCCCAUAACCAUCUGGUGAGGGCACGUUUGCCUGGGUGUCACACAU